AUGUCCCCGGUCUCCAUCUGCAUGGCCCUCGUCGUCCUCCUCAUCACGCUCCUCGCGCCGCCUUCCUCCUCCCCCUCCGCGCCGCCCCCCGUCACCGCCGCCACGCUCGUCUACCUCGAGUCCCCCUCCGACUCCCCGGCCCAGAAGCUCCUCGGCGCGCUCCUCGACGCCGCCGUCUUCGUCGCGCUCGUCGCCGUCGUCACCUUCAUCCUCGUCGCGCUCUACUACUACCGCUGCACCGGCUUCCUCAAGAACUACAUGCGCUUCUCCGCCUUCUUCGUCCUCUUCUCCAUGGGCGGCGCCAUCCCAGUCGCCCUCCUCCGCCGCCUCGACGCCCCGCUCGACGCGCCCACCGCGCUCCUCCUCCUCUUCAACGCCUCCGCCGUCGGCGUCCUCUCCGUCUUCGCCUCCGCGGUCCCCAUCCUCGUCCGCCAGGGCUACAUGGUCGCGCUCGCCGUCAUCGUCGCCGCCUGGCUCUCCAGGCUCCCCGAGUGGACCACCUGGAUCAUGCUCCUCGCCCUCGCCGUCUAUGACCUCGUCGCCGUGCUCGCGCCAAGGGGCCCGCUCAGGAUGCUUGUGGAGCUCGCCUCCUCCAGGGACGACGAACUCCCGGCGCUCAUCUACGAAUCACGCCCCACGGUAGGCCCACCCGAGACUUCCUCCUCCUAUGCUCCGGCAAUGUGGUCCGAGGAGUCGCAGCACCCCGAUUCUGCCGCCCGAUCGGGCCCAAACCUGUAUGACAGGGUGGGUCAGCAGGAUGAUUCCGGUCCUGCCAUGGUAGAAAUGAGGGAUCUUGGCUCAGCAAGCCGUGACAUGACUACCUCAAAUCAAGGUGUAACAGGGCAGACAUCAAAUCAAGGUGGGAGCGCACAGCAUGCUGUCAUUCUGAUCGAGCAGGGUCAGGAAGAAGAAGAGGCAGCUCCAUUGGUGUCAGCGGCAUCUGCCAACCCUACCGUCGCCAAUGAGGAGCAUACACAAAUUUCUACAUCAGAACCUCCCGAGGAGGAGUUUGAGAUGUUUGAGUCUAGCAGGGGCAUCAAGCUGGGACUUGGCGAUUUUGUCUUCUACAGCGUGCUUGUGGGGAGGGCUGCCAUGUAUGACCUCAUGACGGUCUAUGCGUGCUACCUUGCCAUCAUCGCUGGGCUUGGCUGCACCCUCAUCUUGCUGUCAAUAUGCAGGCACGCAUUGCCUGCACUCCCGAUCUCUAUCAUGCUGGGAGUCGUGUUCUACUUCUUGACGCGGUUGCUGAUGGAGCCAUUCGUUGUCGGCGCUUCGACCAAUUUGGUGAUGUUCUGA
rnacentral:rRNA from 1 species